rnacentral:rRNA from 1 species
UAGAGUAAUGCGUGACCAACCUGCCCCAUGCUCCAGAAUAGCUCUUGGAAACGGGUGGUAAUGCUGGAUGCUCCAACUUGACGCAUGUCUUGUUGGGAAAGUGUUUAGUGGCAUGGGAUGGGGUCGCGUCCUAUCAGCUUGUAGGCGGGGUAAUGGCCCACCUAGGCUUCGACGGGUAGCCGGUCUGAGAGGGCGGACGGCCACAUUGGGACUGAGAUACGGCCCAGACUCCUACGGGAGGCAGCAGAC